rnacentral:lncRNA from 1 species
GGGGAGUGACCAGAGAAACUCCUGAUCUCUGUCAUCUUCUCCUAGUGCUCCCUGGAGAAUAGAUGGUCAAAAAGUGAACUGUUUUUCUGGUAGCAUAUCACAUCCAAUUCUUGAGUCUGUGCACUGCCUACACAACCAUUGCUGUUGCUUCAAACAAGCAGUCCUAAGCUGUGGAUGCAUGAAAGAAGGUGGUGAGAGAAGGAUGAAGAUGACAGAUUCUCCUCUGGUGAUGCACAGAGGUGUUGUGACCUGUGAUCUCCAGCAGCCUUUUGUGUCACAGCCCGUGCAGACCAGACCUGCUGUUGGGGGAGAUGCUCUGGGAUGGCUGGAGGGAAGACACCAGCCUCUCCCUGAAAUGACAAAGAUGAGGAAAAAUAGAAGAGGAAAAAAAGAGUGUUUACAGGGGACAUUUUGCAGCUAGAAGGAAG